GUGUGUUUUGUUACGGGCGUAUGGUGGAUGCCUUGGCAUGCUGAGCCGAUGAAGGACGUGUGAGGCUGCGUUAUGCCUCGGGGAGUUGCCAACAAAGCGUUGAUCCGAGGAUGUCCGAAUGGGGAAACCCAGCACCGGUUGUGUGGUGUUACCCGCAGGUGAAUUCAUAGUCUGUGUGGGGGUUGACGCGGGGAAGUGAAACAUCUCAGUACCCGUAGGAGAAGAAAACAAUUGUGAUUCCGUGUGUAGUGGCGAGCGAUAGCGGAUGAGGCUAAACCGUGUGCGUGUGAUACCUGGCAGGGGUUGCGUGUGCGGUGUUGUGGGGCGCAAAUGUUGCAGGCUGCCGACUGCAAGCGCAACGCAUAUGCAUCAGCGGAAGCAUCUGGGAUGGUGCACCGGAGUAGGUGAAUAGUCCUGUACGUGAAGGUGUGUGUGGUUGUGUUGUUUGUGUUCCCGAGUAGCAGCGGGCUCGUGGAAUCUGCUGUGAAUCUGCCGGGACCACCCGGUAAGCCUAAAUACUCAGUGUGACCGAUAGUG
rnacentral:rRNA from 1 species